ACAGCACCUGCCGGGCACAAACACGGCCUUGGCACCUCUGGGGCACCCAAAGGCUGGAGCAGAGGAAUCCAAGCAGGAAGAAGCAGAGAGAGGGAGACCAGCGUGCUUCUGUUGGGAAUAAACCACCAUCACAGCCCUGGCACCGAGCCUCACCUUCAGGCCCUGCUGCACAGCCUGCAGGAUGACCUCCACCAGCGUCGUGGUUUUCCCUGUGCCGGGAGGCCCGUGGAUGAUGGCGAGCUCCCUCUGAGCCAGGGAGAAGGACACAGCUUCCCUCUGAGACUCAUCCAGGGAGGCAUUGAAGAACUCCAGAGGCUCUGGGGAGACAGCAGGACAGUCACUGGGACCUCAGCCCCAGCUGGGAGCUGGCUGAGAAGCACAAAUCCAGGAAUACAUGGCGCUCUCUGCAGCCAGCCCAAAUCCAGCUGAUAACGAGGAGAACGCUGGGAGGGAAGGCACUGAGGGGGCUGGAAGACCCCAGAAGGAGAACCAGCAUCUUUAGUGAAAUCUACAAUGAAAAUUGGGGAGGAAGUAGCAGAUCUGGCAAACAAAUCACUGCCAGUGAACAAACCCAACGCAGCACCAGCGAACAAGCAGGAAAACCCACAGAGUCUGUGAGCAGAACAGAGCAGCCCCGUGGUGGCCAGCCAAGACUGGGAAUGAAGGCAGGAAAAGCCAUGGGCUGAACUGGACACAAGCCAGGCCUUCUGGAGCCAGUGCUGGGAUGAAAAAUGAGCCUCCCUUACUUCCUCCAGCCCAGCAGCACAGGAGAGAGCUGGCAGCUAUCACUGACGGG